CUUCCUCCUCCGGUCUGCCUCCUUAUAAGGGCAAAGGAAGCUGAAUAAACGGAAAUGGGGAACUCCUAGGGGUGCAACUCAGCUUACACUCCUUGAAGUGAGCAGCCGUUUGCACUGGAAAGUCUGCAACAUGUUGAGCAAAUAUGACACGGGUAUCAUUUUGAGCUGUGGAUAAGGACGACACGUGGAGGAAAUAUUAGCCAUGUUCUUCUCAAUGUCUUUCAGAGCUGUGCCAGCUACGGAGACAUUGUGUUUGGACUGAAAGAGACUUAGAUGGGACAGCGUGGUUGGGUCUGUCCUUGUGGGAAUGUACAUACUUGGAGGAUGGGAGAUAUUUGAGAUGACGCGAGACAUUUGUGGUCAAGGCAGCCAGUGACGCAAGAGCACUGAGAAUGUCUUUCCUCUUUCACCCUCUGAUAAAACUACAGCACUGUUGGGAACACCGAUAACUUGAAAAUUCAUAUUUUUUAUGGAAUAUUGUAGUGUU